rnacentral:misc_RNA from 1 species
AAGUCGUAACAAGGUUUCCGUAGGUGAACCUGCGGAAGGAUCAUUAAAUUCAGUAGCUUGCUACUGUUAGGGGGGUCCAUUAGUCUGUAUAGUAUCACUACUGAUGAGCAGCAUGACCCUCUGUCUAUACCCUUGUCUUUUGCGCACUCAUGUUUCCUCGGCGGGUUCAUACCCGCCGGCUGGAUCAAUCUAUAACCUUUUUCAUUUUCAAUCAGCGUCUGAAAAAACCUAAUAAUUACAACUUUCAACAACGGAUCUCUUGGUUCUG